GAAAAACAUGAGCAUCCCUCUGCUUAUUAACUAAGGUCAAUAUUUGAUGGUCCCUGACCCUCACAGAGGCAACUCGUCUUAGUUAUGUUCUUCUUACCUGAAAAACAAACAGCACAAAUACAUUACACGGCUUGCUCACGCCGAAAUGCUGCCAGCUUCACAGGAUGUGGAUACGGAGAAGAUAUAUUGCAUGGUCUUAUCAAGAAGAAACACUGCAUUGACAAAGAAUCAAUACUCAGAGCCCUACACUGGAUGCUGAUGGUGAGCUGCCAGUAAGCACUGUGGAUACCCUAAGCUGGGCAGACCUCACUCCUCAGGUAGGACCAAAUCUCUGCUCGAGAUCCUCCUUCUAGGCAAAUCUGUUUCCCUAUCAAGCCGUGUUUCCAAGGGCAGGUUUGCUCUUCCAUCCAAGACACGCUGUGUUCCCUCCUCAUGUGAGGAGAGGUUUCUUCAGCUCCGCAGUGGUGCCACCAGCUAUGUGAGACCACCAUGCCCAGCCACUGCCCUGCCUUCCAGCCCAUGAACGAUGCAUAAAGCAGGUUAAGCUUCCUCCUCACCUCUUUGCCACAGUUUAGCUGGGCUGCUGCAGACAUCACCUCCAAGCUUCUAUUCCCCAGCUGCUCCAAGAUCAGUGAUACAGGUAACAUUCCCAGCAUCCACCCUCAUCUCAUUAGUCCCUCAGAUGUCUGCAAUUUGCAGCACUACACAUCCCUUCAAGGUGCCUGACUGCUUAAGCUCAAGACCAGCACUGACCUGGGGCAGCUUGACCGGCUCAGGCUGCUGUGACACAAGGGCUGUAAGGAGCUUUGCCAGGGCUCCUCUUUGUUUAGGCCCAGUCUGUGACCUCUGGUCCUUACCUGAGCUGCACAGCAACCAUGCCUGGCCAGGUACUUCACACAGCCCAAGCUGUACACUUAUCUCUGACCUUUCUUGUUGCUUCUGUCUUGUCUGGUGGUCAGCAAGCAGUGGCUGAGCUGAUGGAUUUAGAUCUGCUCUUCUUGCUCAGGUGCAGUGAGGCUGUGCCAUGCUGGUGUCUGACAUGCUGGGCUUCUGGCUUGCCCUCCUUUAUGGAACCACUUGCACUUGCUGUUCCUUGACAGCAAAUGUUACACACCAAGUGCUUCAUGGAUGACCCAGGCUGGUUUCUCUGGUCAUGCUCCACAGCCAGUUCCUUGUUUCCUUACUCUGCCCUGGAUAGGGCUUCCUGCCCCAUGAGAGCCCAUCCCUCCUGCACCUGAUGCCCAUUGUGAGAGUGUUGUACAGAGCACUGCUGCUCUCCUUUUACCCAGCAUUGCAGCCAGGAUACCACUGGUGGGCUGAGAACUCAUGCAUCAGGGAAACUCUGCAAGAGAAGCAGAUAAAACUGGUUUGUAUUGAUGUGGGUGAAGCCGUUCACACUGGGGGACUGGUGGUUUGUGAAAUUCAAGAAAACAAGUGAUGGAAACAACCAGGCAAUUUUAUACAACUCAGCAGGUAAGUUUUGAUUUCAUUACACUACAAUGUAUUAGGAUUCAAAAGUACUGAAUUUCAAAUGCUCAGUGUAAGUCACAUUGCUUACAUUACAUUAGAAUGCUGAUACCAGUAAAACUAAUAAAGUUAACCCAGACUGAAAGAAAAAGGGAAGGAAUGUGGCUAUUCUUGCACAAUAAUAAAUCAAACCAGUGCAUUGCUAUUCUCCCCAGCGAAGAGUUACAGCAUGGACAGAUGGCACUGCCACCAAUUAGUACUAAUAAAAGGACAACCCCCAGCACCCUGAACUAAUUUGGAACCAUCUGUAUGGAAUUAAAAGCACUACCCGCAUUUUAUCUUUUUCAGUAUAUUAACACACCAAAAACUAACUGGGAACUACCAAUGAUGAUAAAUAUAGCGAACAGGAGAAGUUUGCCAUCAAGGGCAGUGCUCAGCAUACUUGUGAUUUCAGAGAAGCUUUAGCCCCAAGGACGGAAGAGAUGCAAGGUCCUAAAAGUGUCAUCUGUUAAAGGUCUGGCAUGUUCUCCAGGGUGCAGAGAUUUUCUUUCUGGAGUUGGUAUUUUUUUGGGGGUGGAAGGGAAGUGGUCUGUUACUGAUGCUAAUUGCAGGGGUUUUGUAUUAACAGAGCAGUGAUAGUUGCUGCCACCUGGUGAGCACUAAAAUAAAAGAAACACAGCUGAGAUGGGAAAGUGAAUAAUUCACUGGUGAACUCAGCUGGCUUCUGUUGAACAAGCUCCUUGUGUGACCUGUGGAGUCAUCGUCCAGGUUCUGCUGAUUAUUUUACUCUUAUUUUUCUUCUUAGCAUGCUUCAUAAAGCACAAAGAUGAAAUACACUCAUUUCACAGCUUAUCAUGCAAUCACAGAAUGGUUUGGGUUGGAAGACACCUUAAAGCUCACCCAGUUCCAACCCCCCUGCCAGGGGCAGGGACACCUUCCACCAGAGCAGGUUGCUCCAAGCCCUGUCCAACAUGGCCUUGGACACUGCCAGGGAUGGGGCAGCCACUGCUCCUCUGGGCAACCUGUGCCCAUGUCUCACCACCCUCACGGGGAACAACUUCCUAAUAUCUACCUUACCUACCCUCUGUCAGUUUAAAGUCAUUCCCCCUUGUUCUGUCACUAUAUGCCUUACAAAAAGUCUCUCUCCAGAUUCCUUGUAGGGCUAUUUUAGGUACUGGAAGGCUGCUGUAAGGUAUCCCUGGAACCUUCUCCAGGCUGAACAAUGCUGGAUAUAUAUGAUGGAUAUAUUAUUCUGGAGAUCAACAAUAAAAUACAAAUGUCAAAUAUCUAAAAUUCAAUGCUUGUUCACUUAACAAUGGUAUUUUUUUCCAUUUUUUUUAAGCAAUGCAACUAUCAUCUGUUGCCAUAAACUAGAAAUCUAUCCAGAGAAACAAAGUGCUGUGCUGUUUGUUCCUAUGGACUUGGUAAGGGAGAAAGGUGACUUGGUCAAUACUACAAGCAAACAAUUAUAUUAAUCAUGAUAGAC